AACAAGAUAACUGAGAAGCAGCUCCACCAAAAUCGAUUCCUCCACUCUCUGUGAUUUUAAUUUCUUUAUUAUCUCCUAAAUUUCCUGCAUAAUCUUUUCUGAUGCUUGGCAGGGACUCGACGAACUGGAGGAAACCGAUUUCAGUAAUCAAAGGGUGGUUCUCGCCCUCUAUGAGACCAUGGACUCGACGAACUGGAAGAAACCGAUUUCAGUAAUCAAAGGGUGGUUCUCGCCCUCUAUGAGACCAUGUACUCGCACGACGUAACCAUGAUGCACCAGAUCGUCGCCGACUGGAAGGGAAUCUCCAUUUCUGUCUUCUAAGCCCAGGCAAAGCAUCCCCUCUUUACGUAUCGUACGAGUGGGUCACGACGGCUCGCUGAUACGCUCAAUCUCAUCCAUGCUGUUUCCAGCGUGAAAGACCAGCAAAUCUAGCGGCUUCGUGAAGACGACUGGGAACUAAAGAAAAAAAAAACAUAAAAUAAAAUAAAAGUGAGGAAAGUCAUGGAGAUGACCCCACUCUUCACUAACUGUUUUGUCCUUGUCCACGGAGGUGGCUUUGGUGCUUGGUGCUAUAACACAUCCUGUCCGAUGAGAUAAGCACAAGCACACGUUUUGUGAUAAGAAUUUAUUUCAAUUACGU